rnacentral:rRNA from 1 species
AUUGAACGCUGGCGGCAGGCCUAACACAUGCAAGUCGAACGAGUGGCGGACGGGUGAGUAAUGUCUGGGAAACUGCCUGAUGGAGGGGAAUAACUACUGGAAACGGUAGCUAAUACCGCAUACCAUCGGAUGUGCCCAGAUGGGAUUAGCUAGUAGGUGGGGUAAAGGCUCACCUAGGCGACGAUCCCUAGCUGGUCUGAGAGGAUGACCACCAACAUGGGAACUGGGACAGGGUCCAGACUCCUACGGAAGGCAGCAGUGGGGAAUUGUGCACAAUGGGCGCAAGCCGGAUGCAGCCAUCCGGCGUGGAUGAAGAGGGCCUUCGGGUUGUAAGGUACUUUCAGCGGGGAGGCGUUACCCGCAGAAGAAGCACCGGCUAACUCCGUGCCAGCAGCCGCGGUAAUAC